rnacentral:lncRNA from 1 species
GAGCGGCGCAUAGAGAAAUCAUUAGGGUUCUUUAAAGUUUUUUUAGAAAAUGAUGGAAGGCUGUUAGUUUAGAUUUUAUAUUAGGUUAUAUAUUGUGAAGAAAACGGCACCGUUUUAAGCAUGCUUCAGUAGCUUUAAAAAUGAUGCCGUUUAGAAGCUUAGACCCGCGCGGUGACCCGACCCGAGGGCAAGAUCCGAGCUUUUUGGUUUAUUGGUCUAUUUGCGCAACAAGUCCC